ensembl:lncRNA
CUAAUAUCAGACAUUUCCUCUAGAAACUAGGAGCUUAACACUUCAAGGAGAUCAUGAAGAAGGACAGAAUAUUGUUGUUUAUUAGAGCAUAAUAUGAAAUGCUAUUCAGUUUCAGCAUUAGAAUGACAAAUGCAAUCUUAAACAUGGCUGGUGACAGGUUAGAUGCCUUCACACAGGCACUUAAUUAGCAGUGUGGAAGUGCUUAUUUGGAGCUUCAUCCAGCCAGCCAUGAGCUGGCUCCAAGAUGCAACAAACUGAAAGGGUUGAUGUGCCUUGAUUAUUUCUGUUGCCUUCAUUUGAGCUUUGUUCAUGUUGCUGAAUUGGGUAGGGACAGACAGCCACAAGCUGUCAAGCCAGUUUGUAAUUAAGCCAUGGCUUAGCAUGGCUUAAUAAGUUACUGCUCCACAGACAAGAUGUAAUAAUUGCCUGUGUGCAUGCUCUUAGCUUGUCCAGCAGCUGAAGUAACGUGUUAGUUUAAGUUACUAUAUUCUGCAAGAGUGUCCUACCUGAAAAGCAGUAGUUUGGGUUGGUAACUCAAUCACUUGUGAGCGUAUGUUUGUGUUUUCCCUCUGCGCCACAGAGAGCUCACAACUCAGUGCAGAACUGCAGGUGACACAAGAGGUACGUUGGAAGUAUGGUUUGAUGGGUGAUAUCCCUGACCAUCAGGGUGGCUCAAAUCAGAUGCUUUGUUUCAACAUGGCCACUUCAAUUGAGCUCAGACAAGAGAGCUUCUCCUUUUCUGUGGCUCACUCCUUUUCAUCACCUUGUGUUGGCACAAACACGUGUGGCUGUGCAGUGUACAGGACUGAGGGAUGAUCUGGCUUAAAACUAACGCAUAUUGAUACACC